AGUGAACGCUGGCGGUAGGCCUAACACAUGCAAGUCGAACGGCAGCACAGUAAGAGCUUGCUCUUACGGGUGGCGAGUGGCGGACGGGUGAGGAAUACAUCGGAAUCUACUUUUUCGUGGGGGAUAACGUAGGGAAACUUACGCUAAUACCGCAUACGACCUACGGGUGAAAGCAGGGGAUCUUCGGACCUUGCGCGAUUGAAUGAGCCGAUGUCGGAUUAGCUAGUUGGCGGGGUAAGGGCCCACCAAGGCGACGAUCCGUAGCUGGUCUGAGAGGAUGAUCAGCCACCCUGGAGCUGAGACACGUUCCAGGCUCCUACGGGCGGCAGCGGUGGGGAAUGUUGGACAAUGGGCGCAAGCCUGCUCCAGCCAUACCGCGUGGGUGAAGAAGGCCUUCGGGUUGUAAAGCCCUUUUGUUGGGAAAGAAAAGCAGCAGGUUAAUACCCCGCUGUUCUGACGGUACCCAAAGAAUAAGCACCGGCUACCUUCGU
rnacentral:rRNA from 1 species